UACGAAGGGUGCAAGCGUUACUCGGAAUUACUGGGCGUAAAGCGUGCGUAGGCGGUUUGUUAAGUCGGGUGUGAAAGCCCCGGGCUCAACCUGGGAAUUGCAUUCGAGACUGAAUAGCUAGGGUACGGUAGAGGGAAGUGGAAUUUCCGGUGUAGCGGUGAAAUGCGUAGAUAUCGGAAGGAACAUCAGUGGCGAAAGCGACUUCCUGGACCAGUACCGACGUCAGGCACGAAAGCGUGGGGAGCAAACAGG
rnacentral:rRNA from 1 species